rnacentral:rRNA from 1 species
CCUGCUCUCAGUUGCUACCGGGUCAUGCCGAGCACUCUGAAAGGACUGCCCAGGAUAACGGGGAGGAAGGUGGGGAUGACGUCAAGUCAGCAUGGCCUUUAUGCCUGGGGCCACACACGUGCUACAAUGGCCGGUACAAAGCGCUGCAAAC